CUGAAACGCCUCUUAGAAACAUUUUCUCUCCCCUCCGCCCGUCGCCUACUCUCCAGCGACAUCCUCCUCGCCGAAACCCGACCUGGCGCUGCCGCGGAGGUACCAGCCGGAAAACCUAGAACAAACAAAGUGAUUCGCUCACCUCCCUCUGCACGACCGCCUCCAUCUGCACGACCGCCUCUUUCACGACCGAUGCAGCAGGCUCGAUCGACCAAGCCGCUGGACUCGCCAGUUUCUUGGCGGAGGAGGAGGAUGGCUAAGGAGGGGAGGACGGCCGGCGGUUCCUGGGGAUUGAGCGGCGUCUUGGGCGGCGCGGGGCUCAUCCGGUUCGGGCGGGCUGUCUGGAUUGUACGCGCUGGAUACUAGGUUUGAGCAGGUUCUUCAUAGGAAAUUCCACGAAGAGGUACCUCCGGACGGGGCAUCUUAAUAGUACAAAGAAAGUACUACAACGAGCACCGUGGCUUUCCAUUAAAAGGGAGCAAUGAUGAUUUUGUUGGUUGUGAUGUGUAUUUUUAGUGUAGUAUAAGAAAGUUGGUAAAAUUUAUGUGUUCCCUGUGGAUAUUUCAUCUUAACUUUUCCAACCCAAGUGAACCAAUCUUUGGCAGCUACUGGGAUAUAUAGACAGGUAAAUCAAGCAUCACAGCCAGGAACCGUACAUAGGGAACCAGGACACAGAAUAAAAUUCCUUAUUUUUAGACAAUAUAAGCUACAAGAAAUGGCAAUUUGCCUUCCAGCCAGUAGAUAGUUGCUUAAACAUUUAAUGUCGCAAUAUACUUUUAUACAGCCUUUUAUACUUUACAAAUUGUAUUAAUCAUCUCUUUCGCUUGAUGGCCCGUAGAUAGUGCUGCCAUCUGCACCUGUUCUUGUUAUCGUGCGGUUUCAUUGUGAGUGAGGAUUGAUGGGUGCUUCUUUAUCUGCGAUAUUGUUUUUUUUUCCUUUUCGAAACGGAUAUAUGUGAGAUUAAUUGACUAAAUUUGCGUGGUGGCGCAAAUGGAAUGUUCAAAUGCAGAGGAGGUUUUUGAUGAUGGCUAUGGUCAAGAUGGGCUGCUUCGAAGGAAGAGGGAAGUGAUCAUGACGCGCAAUAAACCGCAGAAAAUCGGACUGAGAUCCAGGACAAAAAAGUUCAAGGGAAGGAAGAGAAAGGUAACUGUGACAUGCACUAAACCGCAGACUACUGGAACUGAGAUCCAAGAUGAAAAAUGUCAAGAAGAGGAGAUUCCUAGGGAUACCUAUGUUGAGCUUGAAGGUGGGCUGCAUGGAAGUUAGAGGAAAGCAUCCAUGACACCCAGCAAACCACAGACAACUGGAAACUGAGACCCAGAACAAAAAAGUUCAUGGUCAGUGUCUCAAAGCUGAGAAUGAGAUGCUGAGGCGGCAGCUCACUUGCAAGAAAAAAGAGCUCUAUGCUGAAAAGAUUCUGAGACUCAAACUAGAGUUGGAUUUGAAUACGAAUGAGAUCAAGUCCUUGAGAAAGUAGAUUGAAAAGUCGAGGGAUGAGAAUGAGUGCUACAGGAAGGCUAUCGACCUUCGUGUUACCAGCCAAAGCGACCAAGAAAUCGAAGGCUGUGCAGAUGCUAUGAGUAGUAUGUAUUCCAUGACUAUCGCAAUUGCUAGAUCUUUUGGUUUAUCAGAGCGGAAGUUUGAUUGGAGGGGCUUCCAUCCUGAUUGUUGUGCACAAGAUCGUUCAGGUUUUCAUCGUUACCAGCAGUCCAGCACUUCAGGAUGUGGAUACUGCUGUCUCGGUUACCAAAUUGGAACAGAUACAAUAUCUGUGACAAGUGGUGUGGUCUCCAGGAUAGAAAUGCAGUCAUAUGUUCAUGGUUCUACCGAACUUUUAGGAUUGCAGGUCCUCCAGAGUCCACAACCUUUUAAAAGGAAGUUUCUGCAACCUAAUGGAUUCCAAGCAUGUCCAUGGCAUGAAAAUGUGCAGGCGAAUCCCUAGAUCAGGUUCUGGACAGGUCCAGUUGACUGAUUUUCCUUAUGGAACCAUGGUAGGACAGAAUUUUGUGUUGGGCCCAAACAAGCGAAAUUUCAGGUAAUACUGGAUAUUACUACAAUUAUGAUAAUUUGAACAUUUGGGACUAAAAUUACGAGUUUGAAGGCUACUGAAACACAACAUAUUUCAUUGCCAUUUAGUUUUUCUGAAACAACAAUCUGAAGAAUCACUAGGUAGAGGGAAGUGGUUGUGGGAGGGGUGGUGCGGGGGGAGACCGUAUUUGCAACAUGCUGUGAGGAUCUAUCCUGCCAGGGUUUGAAGUGGUCUGCCGCGCCAUGAAAAAUUAUCAACACUAGCAGGUGUGACCGUGCAUUGCUACGGAACCCGGUGGCUGGAAUCAGCUGCAAGGGGGUGCGCAGGUGAUUGGCGAAGUCUGGGAAGGUCAGGACGCUUAGGGCGCUGGGAGAUGCGGUCAUGCGGCUGCACCGGGUUGCGAGGUCUAGUGAGGAGUUGACGCGGCGGGCAGAAUGGAGCAAGCAGCUCAUGGCGCCGUCAAGGUCGGCCGUCUCCCACGAGUCCGGCGGCUGGCGGCGGUGAAGGUGGUGGGAGAACAGGUGAAGCGGGCGGCGACGUGACGGCUUUGCUCGGAGUGCUGUGGCGUCGGUUGGCAUCGGUUGUAAGACGGAGAAGGAGAAAUUGGGCUGGGGGUGGAGGGGGAGGCUCGGGCAUGGGCUCACGCGGGCGCGGUGGCGUCGGUCGUAAGGUUGUGGAGGAGGAGGAAUCGUGAAUAAGACGGAAAGGAGAGAAAAUAACGAGAAGUGGCAUAUUUAUUGUAAUUUUAACAAAGUUGACCUACCGUGUCCAUGCCAAUCACCAUCAACUCCAAUUUAACAGAUAGUAAUAGAUGCCAAUGCGCUUGUACCU